CCUACGGGAGGCAGCAGUGAGGAAUAUUGGUCAAUGGACGAGAGUCUGAACCAGCCAAGUAGCGUGAAGGAUGACUGCCCUAUGGGUUGUAAACUUCUUUUAUAUGGGAAUAAACUGUUCCACGUGUGGGAUUUUGUAUGUACCAUAUGAAUAAGGAUAGGCUAACUCCGUGCCAGCAGCCGCGGUACUACGGCGGAUCCGAGCGUUAUCCGGAUUUAUUGGGUUUAAAGGGAGCGUAGGUGGAUUGUUAAGUCAGUUGUGAAAGUUUGCGGCUCAACCGUAAAAUUGCAGUUGAAACUGGCAGUCUUGAGUACAGUAGAGGUGGGCGGAAUUCGUGGUGUAGCGGUGAAAUGCUUAGAUAUCACGAAGAACUCCGAUUGCGAAGGCAGUUCACUGGACUGCAACUGACACUGAGGCUCGAAAGUGUGGGUAUCAAACAGGAUUAGAUACCCCAGUAGUC
rnacentral:rRNA from 1 species